GAACGCUGGCGGCAGGCCUAACACAUGCAAGUCGAGCGGCAGCACGGGGAGCUUGCUUCCCUGUGGCGAGCGGCGGACGGGUGAGUAAUGCAUAGGAAUCUGCCCGGUAGUGGGGGAUAACGUGGGGAAACCCACGCUAAUACCGCAUACGUCCUACGGGAGAAAGCGGAGGAUCUUCGGACUUCGCGCUAUCGGAUGAGCCUAUGUCGGAUUAGCUAGUUGGUAAGGUAACGGCUUACCAAGGCAACGAUCCGUAGCUGGUCUGAGAGGAUGAUCAGCCACACUGGGACUGAGACACGGCCCAGACUCCUACGGGAGGCAGCAGUGGGGAAUAUUGGACAAUGGGCGAAAGCCUGAUCCAGCCAUGCCGCGUGUGUGAAGAAGGCUUUCGGGUUGUAAAGCACUUUCAGCGAGGAAGAAAGCCUCUGGGUUAAUACCCCAGAGGAAGGACAUCACUCGCAGAAGAAGCACCGGCUAACUCCGUGCC
rnacentral:rRNA from 1 species